rnacentral:rRNA from 1 species
UAAGAGGUCCCGCCUGCCCUGUGACUAUAAGUUUAACGGCCGCGGUAUUUUGACCGUGCAAAGGUAGCGCAAUCACUUGUCUUUUAAAUGAAGACCUGUAUGAAUGGCACGACGAGGGCUUAACUGUCUCCUUUCCCCAGUCAAUGAAAUUGAUCUCCCCGUGCAGAAGCGGGGAUACCACCAUAAGACGAGAAGACCCUAUGGAGCUUUAGACACCAGGACAGACCAUGUCAAUACCCUCUAAUCAAAGAGUAGAACUAAUUGGCCCCUGCCCCUAUGUCUUUGGUUGGGGCGACCGCGGGGUAAAACAAAACCCCCACGUGGAUUAGGAGUAUACUCCUACAACCAAGAGCAUACAGCUCUAAGUAACAGAAUAUCUGACCAUCAAGAUCCGGCCAUGCCGAUCAACGGACCGAGUUACCCUAGGGAUAACAGCGCAAUCCUCUUUUAGAGCCCAUAUCGACAAGGGGGUUUACGACCUCGAUGUUGGAUCAGGACAUCCUAUUGGUGCAGCCGCUAUUAAGGGUUCGUUUGUUCAACGAUUAA